UGGCUCAGUGGUAGAGUGCUUGCCUUGCAUGCAUGAGGCCCUGAGUUUGAUUCCUCAG
rfam:Dipodomys ordii contig_10772, whole genome shotgun sequence.